AGAGUUCUGGGCACAUAAGCACCUCAAAUCACAUCCUGCGCCAGUGAGACCAACUGCCAUUGAGAUGAAUAGAGAUGCUAACGGCUAACAGCUUGCUCCAGGUUAUUGUAUUGGGACACUGUUGUCCUGUUUGUCAAGCGGACGUCUGUCAUUGAGCUUCUCGUCGUAGAUCCAGACUUUAUUUCCCAUGAGUCACACCUGCUGCUUCCCCUGGAGCUCACUGUGGGUUCAGUGGGACACAGAGCGGACGCCGCCUGACAUCUGAGCACGCUGAGAUCUCUCAUCUGAAAGAACACAAGUUUCAGAAAGAAAGCAGAUGGACAUCUGAAAUGUUUACCACAUGGUUGCUGUAUCCUUUACUGUGACCUUGCCUAUGAUGGAGGGGAUGGUCUUUUCUUCAUGGUUGAUGUGAUGGGCUAGUAGCUGUCAGAGCACUGGAGGACAUCAGGGAACACAUGUCUUUCUUUAUGCCACAGCCGUUGUCUGUAUCAGCGAGGGGUCACUGUCAGCCGGUAUGGGGUUCUGGCAUUUCAAGCCUGACUUGAAACUUUAGACUGAACUGGUUGAUCUAUCCAUGCUGAAGAAGAAACACAUGUGCUUUGUUCAUUGGCCUUUACUGCCCAAGCUCAUCAAAAUCUGGCGGUCCAGUUCAGACUCAUAUCAUUUUUCAGGUCACAGUGGCGCGAUAUGUAUUGACAGAACAGUUUUCUCUGCACUUGGUAGAUGAACUUCUCUGUGCUGCACCGUGAUGUCAGAUUAAUGCAUCUUUCAACAUCUAACUGUGGUUUUAAUGGGUCAUGUAACUGUGACCACACAGUGCACAUCUGAAUUCAGUAGAUAUUUCGUUUGUUCAAACCGAUAUGUUGUAAAUACAUUCCAU